rnacentral:misc_RNA from 1 species
GAUGAAGAACGUAGCGAAAUGCGAUACGUAAUGUGAAUUGCAGAAUUCCAGUGAGUCAUCGAAUCUUUGAACGCACAUUGCGCCCUUUGGUAUUCCGAAGGGCAUGCCUGUUCGAGCGUCAUUAUCACCCCUCAAGCCCUCGGCUUGGUGUUGGACGGUUUGGUGGAGGCCCCCUCGGGGGUUCCUGCCCCUCCCAAAGACAAUGACGGCGGCCUCGUUGGACCCCCGGUACACUGAGUUCUUCACGGGACACGUAUCGGACACAUGGGUUUACGGGACACGGUCUGCCUCCCCUCAGGGAGAAUCUUUCUAAGGUUGACCUCGGAUCAGGUAGGGAUACCCGCUGAACUUAAGCAUAUCAAUAAGCGGAGGA